rnacentral:rRNA from 1 species
AUUUUUUGUAAACCCUUUUCUUAAUUUUUCUGAUCAUACUGUGGGGACGAAAGUCUCUGCUUUUAACUAGAUAGCAACUUUCAGCAGUGGAUGUCUAGGCUCGCACAUCGAUGAAGAACGCUGCGAACUGCGAUACGUAAUGCGAAUUGCAGGAUUCAGUGAGUCAUCGAAAUUUUGAACGCAUAUUGCACUUCCGGGUUAUGCCUGGGAGUAUGCCUGUAUCAGUGUCCGUACAUCAACCUUGGCUUCCUUCCUUCCGUGUAGUCGGUGGCGGGAACGCGCAGACGUGAAGUGUCUUGCUGGCCGUGUCUCCUCCUCUUUUGGGGUGGGGGGCAUGGUCGGCGAGUCCUUUGAAAUGUAAGAUACUGUUCUUCUCUUUGCUGGAAAAGCGUGGGUGGUGUGGUUGUGGAGGCUGCCGUUGUGGCAAGUCGGCGACUGACUUCGUGCUGAGGCGUGUGGAGAGGAGCUCGAUUCGCGGUAUGGUUGGCUUCGGCUGAACUUCUGCUUAUUGGGCUGUUUUCUGCUGUUUCGGCGUGGCGUUGUUGGUGAACCGUAGUCAUGGUGGCUUGGCUUUUGAACCGCGCUGUGUUGCGCGAAGUAUGGUGGCUUCGGC